UUGGGAAUCUUCGGCAAUGGACGAAAGUCUGACCGAGCAACGCCGCGUGAGUGAAGAAGGCUUUCGGAUCGUAAAACUCUGUUGUUAGAGAAGAACAAGGACGUUAGUAACUGAACGUCCCCUGACGGUAUCUAACCAGAAAGCCACGGCUAACUACGUGCCAGCAGCCGCGGUAAUACGUAGGUGGCAAGCGUUGUCCGGAUUUAUUGGGCGUAAAGCGAGCGCAGGCGGUUUCUUAAGUCUGAUGUGAAAGCCCCCGGCUCAACCGGGGAGGGUCAUUGGAAACUGGGAGACUUGAGUGCAGAAGAGGAGAGUGGAAUUCCAUGUGUAGCGGUGAAAUGCGUAGAUAUAUGGAGGAACACCAGUGGCGAAGGCGGCUCUCUGGUCUGUAACUGACGCUGAGGCUCGAAAGCGUGGGGAGCAAACAGG
rnacentral:rRNA from 1 species